AUAGAUUGCUAAUUGUGGCAAUAUUCAAACACCCAAAUGAAAAUUGUCAGAAGGAACUCGAGACAAUAAAUAGGCAGUAUCCAUUUGAACCUCUGAAGUACCUAGAGAAAACGUUGAAGCUAACGUACGAGGAAGGGAUUAAAAUGCUCAAGCAUACCAAUGAAGCCUUAAAAAUAACUUGGAUUGGUAAAAAGUAAAAUUAGACGGUGGGAG